CGGAGAAAUUUCCGGGGCUUUAACUCCGGGUUUUGCGGUGGGGGUUCGGGCAAGAUUUGACGGCAGUUGGGGGAGGCCUGCAUUUCGUUGUUGUAGCGGGUGAAAUGCGGCAGAUAUUCAGGAGGACCAGCGGAUGGCGAAGGCAGGUCUCUUGGGCUGUAACUGACGCUGAGGAGCGAAAGCAUGGGAAGCGGAACAGGAUUAGAUUACCCUGAUAGUCCAUGCCGUAAAACGUUGGGCACUAGGUGUGGGGGACAUUCCCCGUUUUCCCGCGCGUAGCUAACGCAUUAAGUGCCCCGCCUGGGGAGUACGGCCGCAAGGCUAAACUCAAAGGAAUUGACGGGGGCCCGCACAAGCGGCGGAGCAUGCGGAUUAAUUCGAUGCAACGCGAAGAACCUUACCAAGGCUUGACAUGAACCGGAAUGAUGCAGAGAUGUGUCAGCCACUUGUGGCCGGUUUACAGGUGGUGCAUGGUUGUCGUCAGCUCGUGUCGUGAGAUGUUGGGUUAAGUCCCGCAACGAGCGCAACCCUCGUUCCAUGUUGCCAGCGGGUUAUGCCGGGGACUCAUGGGAGACUGCCGGGGUCAACUCGGAGGAAGGUGGGGACGACGUCAAAUCAUCAUGCCCCUUAUGUCUUGGGCUUCACGCAUGCUACAAUGGCCGGUACAAAGGGUUGCGAUACUGUGAGGUGGAGCUAAUCCCAAAAAGCCGGUCUCAGUUCGGAUUGAGGUCUGCAACUCGACCUCAUGAAGUUGGAGUCGCUAGUCCUCGCAAAGUCACCAACGCUGCGGUGAAUACGUUCCCCUACCUCCCAAUCGCCCCCGUC
rnacentral:rRNA from 1 species